UACAGAGGGUGCGAGCGUUGUCCGGAAUCACUGGGCGUAAAGGGCGCGUAGGUGGCGCGACAAGUCAGUGGUGAAAGCUCGAUGCUUAACAUCGAGUCGGCCACUGAUACUGUUGGCUUGAGCACUGUAGAGGCUAAUGGAAUUCCGGGUGUAGCGGUGGAAUGCGUAGAGAUCCGGAAGAACACCGGUGGCGAAGGCGGUUAGCUGGGCAGUUGC
rnacentral:rRNA from 1 species